UGUAAACAAACCACGUACCAAUCAGCUGUGCACUUAAGAUCAGACUGACGAUGUAUCCACUCGAGUAAAAGAUGAGUGCAAAAAGGGGAAAUGAAGAAACAAAAAAUCAUAAAGACCCACUGGAGAGAGAAAGAGAAAAUCGGAGGGGUGCUAUGUUUGAGGAGCGAGGAAAUCCCCUCUGCUCAGUAGCAUCUCUUGAAAAAUUCCUGAGCAACAUUCCGCCUGGUGCAAAAGCCCUCUAUCUGCAGCCCAGGAGGGUAACAGCUCUGACAGACAGCUUCUGGUAUACCGCCAUUCCCCUGGGAGUAAACCAGCUGUCACAGAUGUUAUCCAGGAUGUGGAAAGAGGCAGGGACACACACGUCUUACACCAACCACAGCCUGAGAGCUACUGCCAUACAGAGAAUGUCUGAUGCAGGACUUGAGGUGAGGAACAUCAUGGCAGUGAGUGGACAUAGAUGAAAGCUUGCUAAAAAGUUACCGGAGACCAUCCAUGAAGGGCAGGAAAAGAUGGAGCAACGUACUGAUCAAGCUGUUAACUCAUCAGAAUCACACAUGCCACUAAAGCGACUGUCAACAGACUCUUAUUUCACUGGUUGCACAAUAAAUGGAAACCUACAGAUAAAUUUAGGCUACAUGUUACAAAGUAGCUGGCCUGUUGUAGACCUACAAGUAGCAAGCUAGUAUGCAGGAAAAUGUUUAUGUGUUAAGUCCAGUUGCAGAACUAUUUGUGUUGGUGGAGCCAAAUAAAUGAUUAA